rnacentral:rRNA from 1 species
AUUGAACGCUGGCGGCAUGCCUUACACAUGCAAGUCGAACGGCAGCACGGGAGCAAUCCUGGUGGCGAGUGGCGAACGGGUGAGUAAUAUAUCGGAACGUGCCCAGUAGUGGGGGAUAGCCCGGCGAAAGCCGGAUUAAUACCGCAUACGACCUGUGGGUGAAAGCGGGGGAUCGCAAGACCUCGCGCUAUUGGAGCGGCCGAUAUCAGAUUAGCUAGUGUGGGGUAAAGGCCUACCAAGGCGACGAUCUGUAGCUGGUCUGAGAGGACGACCAGCCACACUGGACUGAGACA